AUCGGUUGGCUCUUUGGGAACGCAACGCCCAUCGAUUCCAAGUUCUUGAACUCUCUGAGCGGAGUCCCAUCAACAGAGAAGCUGUGAACAUUCAAAAGAAUCACAGUUAAACAUAAUGAAAAUAAUCGAAACUGUAAAAUUGAAUAGGGGGGGGGGUUGUAAAAGAAGACGUACAUAAUACGUUGAGGGUUCCAAAGAAGGGAGUAGGUGUGGAAGUCUUUGGUGGGAUCGAACCAAAGGUAGAACUGUUGCUCUUUAUCACCUUUGCCUUGUGUAUAUACAUUGGUGUGGACUGUGUAUGGGUCUCCGCUUAGGUUCCCCAAGAACUCGAAGUCGAUUUCAUCCCAUGUCGACCCUUCCGAACGAAGCUGCAAUUGUCACCCCACAUAUCAGCACAGAGUUGUAAAAUAAAUAAGAGACAAGUAUGAUGAUACAACGUACAUAGUAAGUGGUAACAGUGCCAGCAGAGUUGCCUGGGACCAGCUUAAUGUUCAUAUCAAUCUUCCCAAACAGAUAUUGGUUCUUGGAUUGAAAACCAGAGCCGGAGAAUUUGUCGAGGGUGAGAGUGAGAAGGUUUCCGUUUUCGAGAAUCUUGCCCCUGCCAUCACCCCAAGUAACAUCGAUGUCUUGGUUAAAGUUGGCAGCUGAGGCAAGUAUUACAAAGCUGAAUAAAAGAGAGAGAAGCAACGAAGUGGUCAUUAUUUUGGUGGGUUUGUAUUGUAAUUUAGAUUAUGAUGUUUGAAAUGGGGAAGUGAUAGAGGGUGGUUAUAUAGGGGGGAAGGAUUUGGUGAAACAGAGUAGAGAGGGGUUGUUUGGAAGCUUCGUGGUAUGUGUUUCCGUCGGGACAUUGAGUGAAUCGAAGUUGUAAACAGCUGGAACCGUAAAAGAGAAAGAAAGAAGGGGUCCAAAUGUGAUAAUACAUAACUAAUGGCUGUUCCUUGCUUCCAAAAUGCAUGUUUAAUUAAUGGGUUUGGUGCCUUCUUCCUAUGUCUGGUUGGUGCAAGCAGAUAGAUAUGAAUGUCAGGAAUUUAAUCCGAUUUUAAAAUUUGAGCUUUUAAAUAAAAAAUAAAUUAUUUAAGAUAAUAUCAAUGACUGUUAAAAUAAACUUUAAAAAUAUAGGUGUUUUUAUAUCCAAUAGUAAGUUACAUUAUAUUUUUAAAAAGAAGAUCGUGUAUUUGAAUUUUGAAAAUAUUGAAAUGAUCUUAAAAUAAACAUGAUUAAUUUGUUCUACAAUUUGAGUGAACCAAAAGAUUUCAUUAGCUUAAAAUCAACGGUGUUAAUUAAUAUGAGUAAUUGUCAAUGGCAAAACCAGGGGAGGAUAGCAGGGUCUUAGACCCCCUAAAAUAAAAAAAAUUUCGUAUGAUCUUUUGAGUAAAGGUAAAAUUAUAUUUUGGUCAAACUUAGAAAUAUAAAAAUUUAAUUUAAUCUUUUAAAAUUUAUAAAAAUAUAGUCUAUUAAAAUAAUAAAAUUAUAUUUUUUAUCGUAAAAAUUACAAUUUAAUUUUAACUGUUAAAUUUUUUUUAAAAUUUCACCCAUAUUGAUUGACUAAUUUUUGGGACCAACAAAAACUCAUCCACUGGGCUCAUCAUCUCAAACAAAAAUAAUAAUUAAACUAAUUAUAAAAAUGUCUAACCAAGUUCACAUUUUUAACAUUCUUUCAAUGAAAAUUAAAAUGAUUUUUACGCUUCGCGUUAAUUUAAUUAUUUAUUUAUCUCAAAUUUUGGAGUAUAAAUUUGAAUGUUAAAAUAUACUUUAAUCCUCCUAUCAUUUUCAGAAAUUUAAACCCUCUACUCUUGAGGAUAAAUAGACAUAAAUGAUUUGUUUAACUAUUAAGUAGAAAUUAAUCACAAAUAAUUAAAAUAGAAAAAUAAAAUUUAAAAUUUUUAAAAAAUAUAUAUUUGAACAUUAAGUAGCAAAAAAAAAACAAGUAACUUAAAUGUGAAAAUAAAAUUUAAAAAUUAUAAAAAUUAAUUCUUUUCCAAAAUACUAAUUAAAUUGUCUUUAUUAAGUUUUAAUACCUAAAUUACUUCUACUAAUUUUUUUUAUAGUACCUAAGCUACCCCUACUUACUCCUUAUGGCUAUCAAAGGAGAUGGUUUUAUUAUUUAUAGAUAGAUAGAUAACUUUAAAUAAAAGAAUGUUCAUCAAUUAGCUUUUAAAGUAUUGAUAAGUGUUAAAAGUAAUAUAUUUUAACCUCAUUCUUAAUGUGUUUUUGGGUGAUAAUUCGAUGUUAAUUGUGAAUUUUAUACUCUUAAUCCUUUAAAUUCAUGUUUUGAUGCCUAAUAGAGCAAAAGGAGCAAAAAACGAGUAAAAACCGAAAAAUCAAAGCAAGUUAUAGGACCUAUACGGGCAAACCCAUUCCACAUGACCAUGUGACCCACAUGAGCUACCAUACGAGCGUGUGGUAGGUCGUGUCGAUUGCACGGAUUUGCAUUCUGAAUAGCAAAAAAUCACGUUUUUAAAGUGUUUUAGGCAUUCUAAAACGUAUAUUUGACAAAAAUAAAAAGAUAGAAGGGAGCCAUUAUAGAAUUUUCAAGAAAACAACUCGAAAAACACCAUUGAAGCCGAUUCUGAAGUAGAUUUCCGUCAAGAUUGAAGACUCUCAGUUGAUUUCUUAAGAGAUUGUCAUAAGUUUUUUUUAUUUCUUUCGGUUAUACUGUAUCUUGGAUUUUUUUUUUCAAGCAUGAAUUAAUUUUCUAAAUACCUAGGGAGAUGAACCUUAUGAUGGAUUCUUACGUUUGAUUUUUAUUUUACGCAAUAAAUAAUUAUUUUUUAUUCUUAAUUAUCUGUGCUUAAUUUAUUGGUUUAAUAUUUCUAAACUAUUGAUCCAUAUUUGAUGUACUUAAAUCAGAGGUUAAAUAAACCAUAUGUAAGAGUAGAUUUUGCUUAAUUGAGUGGAGUUGCAUGCAAUCCCAAAAAUAUGAUGACAUAAAUCUAUUGGAUUAGAGUCAAAUCUAAUUGGGAAAUCCAUAGCCCGAGUUAAUGCGAUAAUAAGAGUUUUAAUUAAAAAGAACAAUCAAUUAAUCAACCUAGAGUCAGUUGCUCUUAUUCUCGAAAGAGAUAUUAGCAUAAUUAGGGGUUUCCAUGGAUCAUGUCACUAAAUAAAGAAAUUGCGUAAUUUAGAUUGAUAGUGACAGAUGAAAUCUAGGUGAAUUAUUUCAUGAGUAUUGUUUCGCUUCUUAGUUAUUAAUCCUUUAUUUGCUUCUUUUGUUCUUUGCUAUGUUUAUUAGUUAAUUAAAUUUAGUUUUUAAAUCAAUCACUUGAAUUAUUCUGUUAAAUGAUAGAAAAAGAUAAUAAUUAUUAGCACUUUUAAUUUUCAUAGAAACGAUAUCUUUAUUCAUUAUACCUAUACAAUUAACUGAUAAAUAAAUUUACUUUAGCUAGUUCCGUGGACAUAAAGUAAUACCAAUAAUUCGGAAUGAAUGAUAGGAAAUUUGAUUUUUUUUAUUGAAAUUUUAUAAAUAAAAAAUAAUAUUGAGAAAUCCAACUUAAGAAUUCAACACUAAUAUCACAUAAGAGAAAAGACAUAUGAUAUGAUAGGAAAGCAGGUUGAUGACUGGCUUGUGGAUAAUUAUGAAAAGGCAAACAAAAGAGAGAAUAUGAUUACAAAUAAACAGCUGGCUGCCAGAAUCAUUUCAUUGUGAAAAAAAUAUGUUAUAACAUGUUAAAAUAAUAUUAAUUUAUAUUAUAAUUAUAAUUAAUAUAAUAUGAAUGUCAAGCCCUCGAAUAAAUGCCUAUAAAAUAAUGUUGUGGCAUGGCCCCAUGGAGGUCUUGUUUGGAAUGGAUGUAUGUAUCAGUAUAUCCCACCAACUUCAAGUCGGUUGGCACACAAUACACGAACAAAUCAUUCACAAUAUCACAAUAUGGUAAAAUAAUAUAGAUCCCCACUUUUUUUUUACUUGAAAUCGCGAAAUUUUUACCAAGAUAAGUGCUAUUCGAGAACAAUUAAUUGAUUUAGAUUUGUGAAUUCGUAGAGAUUAUUUGGAGGUAGAAUGGAAAAAGUUAGGAGAAGAAUGCUCAUGAGUUAUGAAUGAGAAUAACAAAAAAUUAGAAGAAGAAAGGAUUUUUUUUUGGUUAGGUGCUUGGAAUGGAAUUGGUUAAGCAUUUUAUUCGAACAGAUAUAGAACUGGAAUGAAUGGUUUUAUGUCGUUUGGCUGUUCAGAUCUUACCUGUUAUAGAGAGGUGGUUGUUAUACACCUAUAACAACAUGUUGUUAUAGAGAGAUAAUAAGCUUACCAUAAAAUUUGUAUUGUGAAUUUUUAUUAAAUAAAGAAAAUGAGAAUUAUAUUAAAAAAAGAAAGAAAAUAGGAACCAAAUAAAUAAAAUUAAAAGACAUAUAAUAAGUGUAUGUAUUAUUGUUUUUAUGCAUAUUUUAUUUUACAUUAUUUCACAUGAUUAAUUAUAAAGUCCAUAAAUCUAAUAAGUUCAAUUAAUCAAUGAGUUAUCAAAUUAAAUUAAUUAAUUAAUUAAUUUAUAAUCAUUGUUAACCAAUGAGGUAAACAAGAGGAAGAAGAAGAUGAUUGAACAAGGAAGAAUGAAGUGAAGGUUGGGGAGUGGUUUUAGUUUUGAAGAUAGUUAGGGGAUUGGGAAGGAGUGUGUACGUGAAUCUAUAUGACUUGUUUGCAUGCCCCUUUUAUAGUGGGGAAUAAGCUUGGAUACGUGUCUUGAGGUUACUGACAUGGAAAUUUGAUUUGAUACCCUUGGCAGUGAUAAUGAUACUACGUCCUAGAAUCACGUCCUAAGAUGAGAUGUUAUAGGGUGACUAGCAAUUAAUUACUUUGGUCCUCCACGUGCCCCCACAUAGUCUUAGCGGAGUUGUUCCUUUCUAAAGUUCAUCGAGUUGAUGUUCGUGAACCAACCCUAAGUUCGUAAUGUAGUUGGUUCCAUUGAGAGAUACGCGUUCAGCUCUCUAUGGAUGCACUUUGAGGUUCAUAAAGUACAUUGUAAGGUCUGGGAGGAUCACUAGACAAGGUAUAACAAUCAUGAAUUACUAAAUUCAAGUAAUCAAUUUAUAACUUUAUGAUAUUUCAAAUUCAUAGCAAAAUAUUUAAUUAGGGAGCUUAAUAGUUUAUGGAAUUGAUAUAUUUAAUUUCACUCAGUGAAGAUUAUUUUCAUUUAAUAAAACAUGAUUAAUAAAUUUCUUCAAGUGAAAAUUAAUCAUUUUGUUGAAAUAAUAUUUUGAUUAAGAUAAUUUUCAUUUAAUAAAUGCUAAGUAAUAGGCUUGCUUAUAUGAAAGAGCUAUAAUUUUACUUAAAAUUUAGAUAAUAUGUUGUUAUAGAGAACUAAUUUAAUAAAGAACGUACUUCAUAAUUAUAGAUGUUACAAUUAAUAGUGAAAAAUUAUUAUAGAAAGUUAAAAUAGAAUAUUAAAAAUCGAUUCUUCUAAAAAUUUAACUAUUAUAAUAGAAUGUUGUUAUAACGAGUGAUUGUUAUAGAAAAAAAUAAUGCAUUACCCUAACAAAAUAGAUAAAUUUAAACUCUGACAAUUAUGAAUGAAGCAUAUUAAUUUUAAUUUCUCCUCUUAAUAUCUAAUCUAAGGUUUUGGUUUAACUUGCAUAUUUCAAUGAAUUAAUGAAUUUUGUUUAUCUAUUGUGAAAACUAUAUAUUUAGAAUACAUAUAAUAGAUUAAAAAUAAUGAAAUAUAAAUAUUGAAAUUAAUUAACAAUAACACAUAAAAUAUGUACGAUAUUAAAAUAAAAUUUACAUAUUAAAUUGUGAGUAAAAUAAAAUUUAAAGACAUAAACACAUCAUAUUAAGAGCACUAAAUACACUCCAAUUGCUUAUUAUGGUGUUGUCAUCAAUCUAGAGUUAGUGCUGAAUUCACUUAUGACACCAACUCAAUCAGCAACAUUAUUAAUACUAGAAAUUUUAUCACACAUAAGCGUGUGGAAAUCACAUAUUUAGAAUACAUAUAUGUGUUUAAAAAUAACAUGUAAUAAAUAAUAAAAGAUAUUGUUUGAAACUAAUAAUAAGACACAUGCAAUAUGUACGAAAUUAAAAUGAAAAAAUAUAGUUUAAAUUGUAAUUUUUAAAAAAAGUCAUUUUCCUAUAACAUGUCAAAAAGUUAUUGAAAGAAAAUUCAAUAUUAAAAUUCAAAUUAUGGCACACCCACAAUGUUUGUGAAAAAUUAAAUUACGUAUCAAAUAUAUUUGUAAAAAACUUAUAUAAAUAAUAAAUAAUGUUUUAGUUGAAUGGUAAAAUAUAAAUGAGAAAAAUUAAAGAGACAUGAGUUUAAAUCUUAUUUUAUAUACACAUGAGCGCGCGCACACACACAUAUAUAUUUGCAUUUUUCUAUUUUUAUAUAAAAUAAAUAAAAUGAUAGAAAUGCCUUCAAAAUAAUACAAUUUAUUUCAUAUAGUCAGGGUAUUUUAAUCUUUUUUCAACUGAGUUGGUAUCUAAUUAACCCGUGACACCAACUCAAUAAGGAGCCUUAAGUAUAGAUAUACAAUUGGUGGAGGUAAUAUAGCGUGCAUAAUAAAAUUAAAAUGUAAAAAGAUAAAAUAAAUCUUUAGUUGAGCGGUAAUUUAAGCUUUUAUUAAUACCAUCAACUUGGGUUCAAGUCCCACUGAUUGUAUUUAUUAUUCUUUUUAAAUAAAAAGAUAAAAGUACCCUCGAAAAAUAAAAUUUAUUUUUAAGUAUUAAAGAACAUUAUGAUAAUUUUCCUAAUUGAGUCGGUACUUAAUUGACUUAUGGAAUUAACUUAAUCAAGAACUUGAAUAAUAGUAUAGAUAAUGACUUGUUUGUAUAUACAUGUUCAAUUUUGUAUGUUGAAAAAAACCUUGUUAUUGAAGAUGUAUUUAUAUUUCCUCAGCAAAAUUGAAAAUAGAGAAAAAUAUAAAGAGAAACGAUUUUUUAUUGUUUUUAUUUGUGUGCUUGAUAAAAUAUACGAAAAAUUGAAAGUAAAAGUAAUUUUUUUUUUAUUGAUUGUUUAGUAGAGUUAAAAAAUGAAUUCAUUAAAAAUGGCUUCUGUCAUAAUUUGCUUCCGAACUAUAAGUACUUAAAUAAAUUUUUUUGUCCCAUUUUGAUACCUCAUUCAUUAUAAUUUUCGGUCCAAAAUAUUAAUGGUAUUAAAAAAAUUGUCAAACCAACCAAUGCGCUACAUGUUUGACAUUUUCACGUGUCAUUAAUUAUGUGACCAAUUAUCGAUGAUGUGGUCGUUAAUCAUUGAUCGUAUCGAACAACUGUUUGCUAGACAUUGGUUGGCAUGUAAAAGAAGGUCACAUAUACCAUUAAUUUUUUGGACCAAAAUUUAUAACAAAACAAUAGUUUAGGUAUUAAAAUAGGGAAAAAUGUUUACGCAAUAAAAUAAGAAAAGCAGAAUAGUGACUCGUGACCUAAACUUAAAAAAAAAUGCAUAAUUUUGAUAUAACAUACAUUUCUCUUAUCAUCCCAAUUUAUCAUAAUUUAUUUUUAUGCACUAAAAUGUAAAAUUAUUAUCCCUUCUUAUAUUUGAUCAAGUACGCCCUAUUUUUACUUCUUCACUUUUAUCUUACUUUUUAUUACAACACCAAUUUUAAAAAUAAAUAGAGUUGAAACAACAUUUUAAAAAAUAAUAAGAAACAUGACUAGGUUUACACAUUCAACCUCGUUUAUUUAUUGCCUUUUGACACAGUAAAUUUCCAGAGCAAGGGAAGACAUAAUCGUAGGAUAAAAGUUGCAAAGUUUGGCAUUCUGAUCUCAAUUUUUUAAAAUAAUAACAUGAAUAAACUAAUGAUAGAUUGAUUUAUUUAUUCUCUUUUUAAUUUUUUAUUUAAUCUGUUUUUUUUCACCAAUUUGUAUUAAUUUAAGAAUUUUGAUUUGUCUUAAAAUUAAAAGUGAUAAGUAUCGAAUUGAAUAUAUGUGAAAAUAUGAUGUAGUAUUAUAAAUGUGAAAUUGAAUUAAUAUCAUUAUGUGUAAUGCUAUUAUAUUGGAGAAUUGAUUAUUGGUUGAUGAAAUUAUGUAAUGAAAUUGAGAAAUUGUUACCCUAUUAACUGUUCGGGUAGAGUCGGAUAUAGUUGGCAUGCCAUAGGAUAGGAAGAGUUCAGGGUUACUUCGGUUGUACCGAUGAGGCACUGAGUGUCAAACACAUUGAUGAGCGUUGGGCUCAAACUAUUUACUUCGACAUUGUCCGAUGAGGCACUGGGUGUCAAACUGGUUUGAUUGGUUAGAUCCGUAUAUAUGUCCGAGUCCGAUUUAGAUUAAUAGGGGUAUAAAAUAAAUUUUGAUAAAUGAUAUUUGAAUUGGGUUAAUAUUAUGUUUUGAUGAUUUGUAUACAUAUUGUGAUUAACGGAUAUCGAUGACACGUAAAAAAUCAUACGAACCAGUUAUGUGCCUGAUGGGCCGAUAUAAAAAUGUGAUGAAUCAAUAAGUUCAAUUCAGAAUUUAAAUAAGGAAAUGAAAUAGUAAUUGUCAUUAAACUUAAAUUGGAUAUAUAACUGAUAAAUAGAUGGAAUGACAUAAUAUUAUAAGAAUGAUGUUCAUAUGGUUAAAUGUUGAAUUGAUUUUGAGAAUGGUAUUGAAAUGUGAUUUUAGGUGAGGUUUAUUUCAUAUUGAAAUGUUAUAUGAUGAGUUUAAAUGUUAACUCAGCUUGUUGAUUUAUGAUUGUCAUGUUUAGGUAAAAUUGUCAAGUUGAAUAACUUGUUGUGUUAAAUCGUAAAAUAAGGUAAGAUGUUUAAAUACCAGUGAACUUACUAAGCAUUUGUAAUGUUUACCUUCCACUUGUUUCCUUUUCCCUGUAAAUUGCCAACUUAAGGAACGUGUCAAGUGGAUCUUUGAGAAACUCACAUUAUCAUGUUGUUGAUUCGGUAUCUUUUAAUCAUUUAAAGUUCAAUUUUGUGGCAUGUAUAUAGGUAAUUUGUUUUGAUCAAUCUUGAAUGUUGGCACUUUGGUUCUUGAAUGUGAUUGGUAUUUUGAAUGGUUAUAUGUUAUAUACAUAGGUGUAAAGGUUGGUAAUGUGAUGCUCGAGUAUAGGCAUAAUAUGUAUAGAUAUGUUAUCUGGGAGUGAUAGUGUUUUUGGAACCUUAAAUAAUGUUAAACUUAAUUGGCAAAUAGGUUGUGUACUAAAAUGUGCACUUUGACAUUUUUGUCAAGUUAUGGUAGAAGCUUAAAUGGCAUUUAUUGAGGUUGAAAUGUUAAGAUGUUUGGCGUGCCUUAUUGAAUGAUUGAUGAAUACAUAUGCUAUUAAGCUUACCAAAGUGUUCAUUACAUGUGAAAUAACUUGUACGGUUUUGUAGUUAACAAAAUGGAUGAAUUAGGAUGUGUUUAGAAUAAUUUUAUGCAGGUUUGUAUUGGCCAAAUGUACACCAUUUUAGCCUUUAAUUUGUUUUGAUUAUAUUUAUUCUUUUUACUAUAAUGUUUAAAAUUAUUCAUAAUCUCUUUCGAACUCAUAAAUAAAAAAAUACACUAUUUUCAAUCUAACUAUCGUCAAUCUAAGACGAAUUUCAUAGUUUGUCGUUUUAGUAUCUUACGUAAAGAGAACGAAAGAAAAGUUCAACAACCGGAACUUAGACCUGGCAGUCUACACGUCUUCAUUUAAUAUUCGAAAUAGAAUAUUAUUAUUGAGCUUAUAUUACAUGUUACAAUAUAUGUAGAAUGAAACAAAAGAAUACUAUUGAGGAAAUUAAUUAAAUUAAAAUCCCUGUUAAGGAGCAGUGCAUUCUUUAGGAAGUCCCUGAGGGAAUCGCUUGGUGUCAGUGCAGUAAUUGUAAAUCAUGUAAUUUUUCUGAACCCAUUUCAGCCUUUCUUGGCUCGUUAUAUCCAGUUCUUGCGAUAGCCAUGAAUUUUGAGAGGGCGAGGUGGAGGAACAUGAUGAUUUCCCGGAAGACCACACACAUGUAUCAGCCUUGUAAUUCCUGUAAGCAGCGGUGAAAGGAGCUUGGCUCCAAUCUGUCUUAACAAGACCACCUCGAGUGGCCCAAUCAUCGGCGUUCCAAAGACUCGAAUACACUCUCAUCGGCUGGCUCUUUGGGAACGCAACGCCCUUCGAUUCCAAGUUCUUGAACUCUCUGAGCGGAGUCCCAUCAACAGAGAAGCUGUGAACAUUCAAAAGAAUCACAGUGAAACAUAAUGAAAAUAAUCGAAACUGUAAAAUUGAAUGGGGGGGGGGUUGUAAAAGAAGACGUACAUAAUACGUUGAGGGUUCCAAAGAAGGGAGUAGGUGUGGAAGUCUUUGGUGGGAUCGAACCAAAGGUAGAACUGUUGCUCUUUGUCACCUUUGCCUUGUGUAUAUACAUUGGUGUGGACUAUGUAUGGGUCUCCGCUUAGGUUCCCCAAGAACUCGAAGUCGAUUUCAUCCCAUGUCGACCCUUCCGAACGAAGCUGCAAUUGUCACCCCACAUAUCAGCACAGAGUUGUAAAAUAAAUAAGAGACAAGUAUGAUGAUACAACUUACAUAGUAAGUGGUAACAGUGCCAGCAGAGUUGCUUGGGACCAGCUUAAUGUUCAUAUCAAUCUUCCCAAACAGAUAUUGGUUCUUGGAUUGAAAACCAGAGCCGGAGAAUUUGUCGAGGGUGAGAGUGAGAAGGUUUCCGUUUUCGAGAAUCUUGCCCCUCCCAUCUCCCCAAGUAACGUCGAUGUCUUGGUUAAAGUUGGCGGCUGAAGCAACCAUUACAAAGCUGAUUAAGGCAGAUAGUAGCAGCAAUGAAGUCCUCAUUUUUUUUGGUAGGUUUGUAUUAUGAUGUUAGGAAAUGGGGGAGUGAUAGAGGGUGGUUAUAUAGGGGAGGUGGAUUUGGUGAGAAAGAUGAAGAGAGAAGCUUCGUGGUAUGUGUUACCGUCGGGACAUUGAGUGAAUCAAAGUUGUAAACAGCUGGAAACAUAAAGAGAAAGAAAGAAAAGAAAAAGGUCCAAAUCAAUAAUACUGAGGGGUGUUGCUUGGAAGUUGGUACCAAUAUGCAUGUAUAAUUUAUGGAUUUGGUGCCGCCUUUCCAUGUCUGGUUACUGUGCAUUUGCAUGUCAGGAAUUGAACCGGCAGUUGAAGCAGUAAAACUUUGAUUCAGAGUUUCAACUUUAAAAUAAUUAAUAUUCAUUAUAUCCAUCAGUGUAAUAAACAUAUCACAAUCAAAACACACUGUAAUACACUCACCAAUCCCAAACGAGGUUGGGGUUUGGAGGCCAGAACCCAACUGUUUAUACGCAGGCUUAUACGUUGUGCAAUUUGAGUGAACCACAAGAUUUCAUUAGCCUAAAACCAGUGGUGUUAAUUAAUGUGAGUCAUUGUCAUAUUGGCUGACUAAUUUUUGGGGACCAAACCAGAACUCAACCACUGGGCUCAUCACGUUAAUCAAAACAACUAUUAAUUAUUAAUUAUUAAUUAAAUCCAUUACAAAAAAUGCCUGACCAUAACUAUUUUCUUUUCAUUUAUUAUCUAGACUGAAAUUUGAAUCCUUAAUUCAAAAAAGUAAAAUCCAUUGGUGAAUUACUUUGUGUUUGAUUAUUUCAAGGAUUUCCGUAAUGAAAAAAAUCUUAACUUUUGAACAAGUCAAUUGUUCUAGAAAUAUCUUAAAAAGUCAAGUAAUAAUAUACAUUCUAAAAAAAACUAAAAUUGAUAAAUCAAUAAUCUAUUAAAUAUUAAAUUUAGGUGUUAUUUGAUAAAUUAAAAAAAAUUAAAUGUUCAAAAAUUAAGUAUUGAGUUUAAGUUAUAAAAUUUGUUUGAUAUAUUACUUAAAAUUAGUUAUGGAAUAUAAUUAGAUUGUUUGAUAAAUAUAGAUUUUAAAUUAUAAAAAAUUAUAUUCUACAUUUUAUCUUUAAUUUUUAAACAUUUCACCUUAUUCUAAACAAAAAUUAAAAUUUCAAACGUAAAAUUUUUAUAAAAAAUAUAACAUUACAAAAAACUAAAAUUAAAAUAAUUGAAAAUAUUUUCAAUUAAGUGAUAAAUAAUUUUUAUCUACUUAUUAUUUUUCACAUUUUUUUAUAAGGAAUUCUAACAUAUUGCCUUAAUUUUCAACUUUUUAUCAAAGAAGGUCUUAGUCAUGAUUUAAUUAAAAUUUAACAUUGUAUUGUGCCCUCUUCUUUUCAUAGAAAAAGCCUAGCUAUUCAACUUUUUCAAAUUAAAUCUUUACUCUGUGGGCAGCGGCGCUGGCCUUCAAGCUUGUUGCUAAUCACAAUUCCUCUUAACAAUUUUUGUAGUUUUAUUUUGUUUUUAAUUUCAAUCUACAUUAUUGUGGUUUUGUCUACAGUUUUGUGGUUUUAUUUUGUCCACAUUUUUUAUGGUUUUUGUUUUGUCCACUUUGUUUUCUUUGAAAAUAGUGGUGGUUUUAUUUUUACAUUUAAUUUUUUAGUCAUGUUCUAACAGGUAUGUGAGAUAUUGUAACACCCCCAACCCGUAUCCGUCGCCGGAACUGGGUUACGGAGUAUUACCGGAUAUAUCGGAUAACUUAUCACUAAUUCACAAAUAAAUAACAUACAUAGCAUACUUUAAUCAAUACAUUACCUAGAUAUUAGAUACAUGCCACAAUAUCAAAAGAAAGGCACAUCACUAAAAUUCACUAAUUCAAAAAUAUUUUUAAAGUCACGCUUAACUUAUAAUUAUUAAUUAAUAAAUUUUUCUAACUUUUUGAUCGAAUUUAGUGAUCUCAAAUCACUGUUCUGACACUACUGAAAAUUGAGCUGUUACAACUCUUCCCCCCUUAAAAAUUUUCGUCCUCGAAAUUUCUCACUGAUACAAGCUAUUAAGUCAAAUCUUUCUUCCACCUUUUUUAUCGAAGUCCAUAAAAUUAAUCAUAACUCAUAUCACUUCCGAACUCAUAUCAAAACUCAUUUUAGAACUUGAUACUAUGACUGAACUUAAUUGAGUAGCUCUGAUGUUCUCCUGUCAUCACUUUCUCACUAGUAGUAUAACUACCGAGAAUUUCCAGUAAUCGUCAAUCAAAACAUAACUGAGAAACCCGUAUUAUUAAACUCUGACUGAUAUUUUUGACGUGGUUGCAUCUGUAACUUUCAACUGAUAUUUGUUUCUUUUUUUUUCCAUGAAAGCGUCAAGUAAUAUCAUUUUACACAACUGCAAUAACUUCAACAACAAGGACAACUUUAACCCAUAAUAAUAUUUCCCGAUUAAAACUGACCUGAUAGAUAUAUUUCUGUAUCAAGUCUUCUAGAAUCUGAUUUUUUCAUUCUGAUUGUCCUUCUAUUUACCCAUGAAUACACAAAAUUUAUUCCCGGUCCUGAGAAUAGACUCAAAUGCAUAAAAACCAGUUGCCUACGGAUUAUCCUUCAUCCUUUAUCCAGCAGAGCCAUCUCUUGCAAUCUAUGAACCUGAACCAUCUUAUCUAAUACCUUCGAACGAAGACCUUGAAAACCCAUCCAGCCAGAAAAAAGCAGAUAAUUUAAACCCAUUGUGAAGACCCAAAAUGUACUGAUUCCAUCAGUGAUUAUAACUCAAUUAACUUUUCAAUGAAUAACCCACUUUGAUUAGAACAACUGAGUCGAUUUUAUCUAUCAGAUAAUAACAUUUCAGAAUAAUCCAUUCUUCUUGUUGUCAAAACAAUCCAGAUAUACCAUAUAUCAUAAUUUUCUCGGAAUAUCAACAGAAAUUUACCACAAACUGCAUUAACUCAAACGAAUUAUGACAUCUCAUUAUUGACUUGCUGACAUAAUUCAGGAUUACCUGAGAAAUAAAAACCAAUGUACAAAUUUGAGCUCAAUCUUCCACCAUCUACUCUUUUUUCGAUGUCAACCCUUUCAUGAAAACUGGAAAAGAAUUAUAUAUAAUAAACCUAUUUCAAUUAUAAUCAUCGAAGCUUUGAACUAUACCGAAGCCACAACCAUCAGAUAGAUUAAAAACUAUAGAGCAAUAAUAGGACUGGCGUUCCAACUGUAUAGAUAGAACAAUACCUCAACAUCAAUAGUGAAUUCCAAAAUAGAUGAAGAAAAUCGAAAGGAGUCCCAUUAACAACCAGUGCAGUAAUACAACUUCUAUAAUAUGAUAUCCAUAUCACCGAGCUACCAUGAUUGAACCAAAAUUAAUAACAGUAAUAAAUAUAACUACCUCCGGCCAAUGAAUAACUUUUAUAGAUGAACCAUGUUUAAUAAAUAAGAUUAGACCAUAAGAAUGAUAAGAAAACCGAGAUAAUAAAAUCCAAGAUGUGAAGCUAUACUGAAUUUUCGAGAAUAAAAACCACAUUGAAUGAUAAAGAGAUCGAUGAUAUCCCAGAGAAAAUUCAGAAGAAGAAUAUCGCUCGUACACACUAAAAAUAGUUGUGAUAAAGACAAUAUAAAUUCCAUAUAUGUAAUUCGGAAAAUUCAACCAGUAGAAAUAGAAAAUAACUUCAUAUGAUUCUUAUCAUCAAGUCUUCUAUCAAACAUAAUAGAUUAGAAAACCAAAGAAAGAUAGAACAAUGCCAAUCAUAAAUCAACCAGACUAACAAUACUUCCAGCUAACAUUAUGUUUAACCAAACUUUCUAUAUGAUAAGAAUCACAUCUGAAAAUAAACAGUUGAUGCUUCUUUAUUUGUUCGGGUCGUACUGGUUCAACGUUGUAUGUUCUUGUGUACGUUGAUGAUAUUAUUGUUACAGGUGAUGUGCCUUCUGCUAUAGAGUGGUUUGUUCAAUUGUUAAAUAGUAAGUUCUCGCUUAAGGACAUGGGCGAUCUUCAUUACUUUCUUGGGAUAGAAGUUACUCGUUCUUCAUCAGGCUGUCUUCAUCUAUGUCAGAAGAAGUAUAUACGUGAUAUUCUUAUUCGGUGUUCGAUGGAAAAUGCGAAGAGUGUUAAUACACCGAUGAUUAGUUCCUCUAUCAUGACUAGAGAUGGUGGUGAGCGUUUAGAGGAUCCGACUGAAUACAGGAGCCUUGCUGGAGCAUUACAGUAUGUCACUCUUACGCGGCCUGAUGUUGCAUACGCUGUAAAUCGAAUAUGUCAGUUUAUGCAUUGUCCCACUUCUGUUCAUAUGACUGCUCUAAAGCGUAUUUUGAGGUAUCUAGGUGGAACGAUUGAAUUUGGGAUUGUGUUUCGUCCGUCCACUAGUUUGUCAUUAGUUGGGUAUGCUGAUGCAAACUGGGGGUUAGAUUUUGAUGACUGGAGGUCUACUACUGGGUACUAUGUUUAUUUCGGAUGUAAUCCUGUGUCGUGGUGUACGAAGAAACAGCAGGUUGUUGCUCGGUCUACUGCUGAGGCAGAAUACCAGAGUCUUGCCGCGGUCACUAGUGAGGUUACAUGGCUUUUGUCGUUACUUCAAGAAUUACAUGUUCAGUCUACUAGUAUUCCCAAUAUUUGGUGUGACAGUUCUGGUGCGGUUGCAGUUGCUACUAAUCCUGUUGUUCAUUCAAAGUUUAAGCAUGUUGAAUUAGAUUUAUUUUUCGUUCGUGAAAAGGUUGCUGAUGGUACUGUUGCCGUUGGUGAGGUUCCGGCGUGUGAUCAAGUUGCUGAUGUUCUCACUAAGCCACUUUCGCUAUCGAUUUUUGCUCGUUUUCGAAAUUUCCUACGGGUCUUGCCUGUGGAGAAGAUGGAUGAAUAUUAGAGUAUAGAGAGUUGUUAGUUAGUUGUGAAUAUGGUAGAAGGUUGUUGCUUAGUAUGGAGCAGUUACUCAUGUCUAUAAAUACUGUACAUCUGUAUUCAGAGAGCAAGGAUUUUUGAAUAAACAAACAAAGAAGUUUAUUCUUCAUUUUCUAUUUUGUUCUCUGUUUGGCUAGAUAUUUCUUUCUAUUUUAUCUAGCUCUUUCAUUCUCGAAAGGCUAGGCUAGUAACACUUUUACUCUACGAAAGAAAAACUGAGCCACCACAAACCAAGGCAUCCCCCCCCCCCCCCCACAAAAAAAAAUUGUAACUAAACAUCUUGUGAAAAUUCUUAAAAAAAUUAUAAAAAAUUAAAAAUUUUAAAUUUUAUACUGCAGUUUUUUAAUGAUUUUUACAAUUUUUAGUUAACGAUUAUUUUACAGUUUUUUUAAGAAUUGAGUAUUUUGUUACAAAAUUGUGUUUUUUCUCUAGGAAUUUGAGUAUUGGCAAAAUUAGGCAAAAAUGCCACUUUUAAUAAAAAAAAUUAGGAAAUCAAGAUCAAAUUGAUAAAAUAUGUAAGUAUUGAGGACUAAAUAUAUUAUUAUACCAGUUAGAAAAAGACUUUUGAUUAUCAAUUUAACGACAAGUAAUCAAAAUAAAAAUAAAUUCAAACAUUAAUACCUAAAUUAAAAAAUUUUAAAUUAAGUAACCAAAAUAAAAAAUGCGAGCAUAAUUAAGUAAAUUAUCAAUUUAUCCGAAUUUAUAUUAUAUUUAUUAUUAAUAUAUCAAAAUUUAUAUGAAUGUUAUAUUAUUUUAAAUCAUUUUGAGCUUCUAGUCAGCUACUAAAUGCGAAUAUAUAAUGUUGUGGCAUGGCCCAUCGAGGUCUUGCUUCGAAUGGAUGUAUGUUGAUAUAUGUCUCUCACCAACUUCAAAGUCGGCUGGCACACCAAACACGAACAAAUCAUUGGCAAAAUAUCACAAUAUAUAUCCCGAGGUGUCACAUGCGAUUUUUCUAUAGGUUUUCUUUAAGUAAGUUGACCAUAGGUCUACGGUAGCAACUGGAUACAUUUUCAAUCAGAAAAUAUUAAUAUAUACAUAUUUUAUAUAUGAAUAUGAUAAAAUAUCAGAUUAAUUUAAAAAUUUACAUAUAUAACAAUUACAAUUAUAUCAAUAAUUGUAUUGUUAAAAUAUUAUUUGUAUAAAAAAUUAUAAUAUGAUUUUAAUUUUAGAUGGAUAAAAACAGAUUUCGUAGUUGAUUAUUGAGCUUAUAUUAUUAAUUACACCUAUAUAUUUCCCUGGUUAGAUGUUUUGACUUCAAUCAGAGAAACAUUAAAGUAGUAUAAUUUCCGAAACUGAAUAGUAUUAUUUAUUGAGCUUAGUUUUACAUGUUACAAAACAUUGACUGAAACAAAAGAAUACUGUGAGGCUGCUUUUGAACAAAGUAUCUGUCCUUCGGCAUGACUAGCGAUGGGAAUCUUAAUCAACAAAUUAAGAAGCGGUGCACUCUUUAGGAAGUCCCAUAGGAAAUCGCUUGGUGUCGGUGCAGUAAUUGUAAAUCAUAUAAUUUUUCUGAACCCAUUUGAGCCUUUGUUGGCUCGCUAUAUCCAGUUCUUGCGAUAGCCAUGAAUUUUGGGAGGGUGAUGAGGUGUAGGAACAUGAUGAUUUACCGGAAGACCAGACACAUGCAUCAGCUUUGAAAGUCCUGUAAGAAGCAGUGAAAGGAGCUAGGCUCCAAUCCGUCUUAACAAGACCACCUCGAGUGGCCCAAUCAUCGGCGUUCCAAAGACUCGAAUACACUCUCAUCGGCUGGCUCUUUGGGAACGCAACGCCCUUUGAUUCCAAGUUCUUGAACUCUCUAAUUGGUGUCCCAUCAACAGAGAAGCUGUAAACAUUCAAAAGAAUCACAAUUAAACAUACUGAAAAUAAUCGAAACUGAAACGUUUUUAGAAAAAUGGGAUUGUAUAAUAAGACAUACAUAAUACGUUGAGGGAUCCAAAGAAGGGAGUAGGUAUGAAAGUCUUUGGUGGGAUCGAACCAAAGGUAGAACUGUUGCUCUUUGUCACCUUUGCCUUGUGUAUAUACAUUGGUGUGGACUAUGUAUGGGUCUCCGCUUAGGUUCCCCAAGAAUUCGAAGUCGAUUUCAUCCCAUGUCGACCCUUCCGAACGAAGCUGCAAUUGUCACCCCAGAUAUCAACAGAGUUCUAACAUAAAUAAGAGACAAGUAUGAUGAUAAAACUUACAUAAUAAGUGGUAACAGUGCCAGCAGAGUUGCCUGGGACCAGCUUAAUGUUCAUAUCGAUCUUCCCAAAGAGAUACUGGUUCUUGGAUUGAAAACCAGAGCCGGAGAAUUUGUCGAGGGUGAGAGUGAGAAGGUUUCCGUUUUCGAGAAUCUUGCCCCUCCCAUCUCCCCAAGUAACGUCGAUGUCUUGGUUAAAGUUGGCGGCUGAAGCAACUAUUACCAAGCUGAUUACAACAGAUACCAGCAGUGAACUCUUCAUAUUUUAUUUAUCUGUAUGGUGUUUCUAUUCUAAUUGGAUUAUGAUGUUAUGAAAUGGGGGAGUGAUAGAAGGUGGUUAUAUAGGGGGAUGAAAACAAGGUAAAGGGGGGAAACUUCGUGGUUUGUGUUUCCAUCGGGACAUUGAGUGAACCAAAGUUGUAAACAGCUGGAAACAAAAAAGUGAAAAGAAAGGAAGGAUCCCAAUCUAAUAAUACUGAGGGGUGUUUCUUGGUACCAAAAUGCAUGUUUAAUUUAUGGAUUUGGUGCCGCCUUUCUAUGUCUAGUUACAGUUCAAGCAGAUAGAUAUGCAUGUCUAGAAUUGGAUCGGUAGUUCGACACGGGCAAACCCAUACUGUAAUACACUCACUAAACUCAAACGCGGUUAUGCGCCUCUCCGUAGGCCGAGGCUUAUUUGAGUGAACUACAAGAUUCCAUUGCCCUAAACCAAUGGUGUUGCUUAAAAGUCAUUGUCACAUUGGUUGACUACGUCAGGUCAAAACUAACUUGUUUUUGGGACCAACACGUAUUCACAAAAACUCAACCACUUAAAUCAUCACAUGAUUUCUUUUUUGAUUAAAACUAAAACAAAAGAGUCUUAAAAGUAGUGGCUAAUGUUAGGAUCUUAUACUAAAGUAAGCUAUAUAGUUAUGAACUAGGUUAAACAACUUGUCACCUAUGUCUUCUGUGUUUUCUCCUCAAAACAAAAUCUUCAUCAAUUGGCUUUUACAAAAAUGAGUUGUGUGUCAUGUUACCUAUGAUAUAAUAAAAUCUUUUUUAAUUUGGAAAUUUUAUUGGAAAAGCAAUUUCUUUUAAUACGCAGAUAUAAUCUAAGAAAUUAAAUUAUGAGGGUUUGCAUCCAGUUGGAAUUGAUGGAUUACCAAAAGAGAAAGGAAGGCUCGUCAAUGGGUUGGGAAUUGGAGUGGGUGGAUAAAGAUUACAAAAUUAACUGCUGGCUGCCAAAAUGAUUAAUGUGAAUCACUUGCUUUUGAAAAAGAGAAUUUAAUUAGUUAAGCAAAUUGCAUCUCAUUUAUUAUUUUCUCAUAUAAAAAUGUUUAAUGUUAUAAUAAUUAAGUUAUUUUGGGUUUUAGAUAUAUAAUGUCAUGGUUCACACUAGAGGUGAUCAUGGGUUGGACUAUCCGGCCCGGCCCGACGGUCCGCCUGAAAAUAGGAGGGUUAGGGUAAAAAUAUAGUCCCGAAAUAUGGGUUUGGGCAAAAAAAUGAGACCCGUUUAGAAAACGGGCCGAGCUUGGGUAAAACUAUUUUAGCCCGGCCCGAAUUAUAUAUUAAAUAUAUAUUUUUAUUUUUAAUCAAAUAUAUAUUUUUUAUAUAUAUUAAAUAUAUAUUUAAUAUGGGUCGGGUCGGGCUAGGCUUGGGCUUAGCAAUUUUCUCUCAAGCCGGACAAAUUUUCAAGCUCAUAUUUCAGGCUGGGCCGAGCCUAAAAUUUUGUCUGGGCUCGGCCCGACCCAUGAUCACCUCUAGUUCACACUAUAUAUAAUGCAAAGAGUUAUUGAGGUUGGAGAUUUGUUCGAGUUUGAAGGAUGUUUGAGCAAAAUGCUAGUUAUAUAUAGUUGAUCUCCUGUGCCUAUAUGGCUACACACGUGGAAUGGAAAUUUCACGAUAAGGUUAGCUUAUUCACACAUUUUGAAUAAUAUGCAUUUUGAAGGUUCGAGAAUACAUUAUUCAAGUGUUUCAAAGAAAACAUGGAACUUUAUGUGGACAUUGAAAGUCCAUUUCAAAGUGAUUAUCUUUCUUUGGACACUCCUUGAUAAUGCCCUCCCUUGCAAACCGAGUUAAAAAAGACAAUUAACACUAUCAAUCCAAAGUUUGCUUUAUGUCAAGGAGAAGAGGACAUUAAUAAUAUAUUCAGGGAGUGUGACUUGGUCAGAGCAGAGUGAUCUGAGUUGAGAUUUGGUAUUUGUACGAGAGACACUAAUUCAUUUUAUGUGAGGGAUUGGACUAUACAAUUACUGAAAGCGGCUAGAAGGGGAGUUGCUAAUCACAUUAUUGAAAAUUUGGGUUUUAGAAACAAAGUUAUCUUUGAAGGUAUAAACCCGACCCAAUAACGGUCAUCAAGGAAGUGGAAGAGUAUAUCAAAAUAACGAGGAAAUCUCUAAAGGAAUGGAUUUCAUCCAAUUUAGAAAGGAAAAGCAACGAGGGCAUGAGGAGUGGGGAGGAAUAAUGAAGUACUUGCAUGGGUUCUUCAUAUCAGGGACUCGAAUAGAAGAUCUCUUGUGUCACAUGAAUGAAGAAUUCAACAUGACAACGAUAUAGUUAGGAAAUUGUUAGUGCUAAGGACUGUCCUGGUCAUAAUCGUCAUAAAAGGUAUCUCCUGCUACACUUUUAAGUUCAAGGACAGGUUAUUAGGACUAUCAUUGGAGGGAAGACUUGUUCAAGUCACUGAUCACACAAACCAUUGCUAGAUCACACAAACAUCGUGUUUAUGAUGAUACGAUAUGUUCAUGUACAAAAAGUAUAAAUGUAACAUAAAAAUAUUAAUAUAUCCAGAUUUAUAUUAUACUCAUUAUUAAUAUUAUUUUAAAUCACUUUAAUCGUCCAGUCAGCUCUUAAAUAUCAAUCUAAUAAUGUCGUGCCAUGGGCCAUGGAGGGAUCUUUUUCUUUGGGUACUGCAUGUAUAUCCACUCACUUUUAAGUCGGCUGACAUACAAAACACAAAUAAAUUAUAGGGAAAUAUCACAUAUAAAUACAAUAUAAUGUAAUAUAAUUGUCUCGCUUAAAAGGUUUCCAUUAUCAUAAAAUCGAAUUUUAAAAAAAAAAUUAUAAUUUGUUCAUUUAAAUAUGAGUUGGGAAAUAAUUUUUUAGUACAAAUAACAAAAUUAUAAUUAGCUCAUUUAAAUAUGAGUAGGUAUAUUAUGUUUGGUUUUUGAUGUGUUUUCAUGGGUGUGUUCUAUGUAUAUACGUGCAAGUUUUAUAUGUGUUGAUCUUAAUCUGUCACAAAUGUUGGAGGUUGAAAGCUAUGCACUUGAAACCGACUAAUUGUUAGUUGUUCCUUGCCAAUGAUUCUCACAAGCAUAUAGUUCCUCGACUUUUCACCUAUUAUCAUCUUUAAAAAAAUAUUACUCUUAUAUUUUUUUCUUUUACAUUGAUUACACCAUGCUUUUACAUAUUGACGUAAAACCUUCUGUUAGAAUUAAGUGACCCAAAUCCUUAUUUAAAUAAAAUACUGUGGUAAAAUAAAAUAAAAGUAAAAUUCCUAUAGAAUUAUAUUUCUUUUAUUUUAUUUUAGAAUAAGGUUUCUAAACCUUAUUAAACUCUAUCUAUUUGAUAUUAUUUGAAUAAGGAGUUUCACUCCUAUUAGAAUAAGGUUUACAAGCCUAUAAAUAGGCAUAGUCUACUCCUAUUGUAAUUAAGUUUUCGACAUAGUAAAUUUUCUUUUCCUCUGCCCGUGGUUUUUUUCCCGAAAGGGUUUCCACGUAAAAUUUGUGUGUUCUUUAUUUUUCUAUUUCUAUUUUUCUUUGCGAUAUAUUGUUAUUACCGACAUUAUAUUUUUCUCAAAUUGGUAUCCGAGCUUCCGGGUUGUUCAUCUCAAUCACAGUAAUGACGUCUUUGAAGUACGAAAUUCUACUGUUGGAUCGCAACACCAGAUUUGCGUUGUGACAGAUAAAGAUGCAAGCAGUUCUUGCACAGAUGGACUUAGAGGAAGCCCUACUAGGGGUAGAUAAGAUGCCUUCAACAUUGACGGAAGAAGAGAAGAAGCGCAAGGAUCGAAAGGCGUUAACACAGUUACAUCUGCAUUUGUCUAACGAAAUUUUGCAGGAUGUGAUGAGGAAAAGACUGCCGCUAGAUUAUGGAAGAGGUUGGAACAGAGAUGCAUGUCGAAAACUCUAACUAGUAAGCUACAUAUGAAGCAGCGUCUUUAAGCUCAUCGUUUGGAGGAAGGUGCAUCUAUGCACGAACACUUAACAGUGUUCAAAGAAAUUCUCUCAAACUUGGAGGCCAUGGAGGUUCAGUAUGAUAAGGAAAAUCUAGGGUUGAUUCUACUUUGUUCGUUGCCCCCGUCUUAUUCAACCUUUAGAGAUACGAUUUUAUAUAGCCGCGAGUCUCUCACAGUUGAUGAGGUUUAUGACUCUUUAACCUCGUAUAAUAAGAUGAAGCAUCUUGUGGUUAAAACUGACUCUCAGGGAGAGGGUCUUAUUGUUCGUGGGAGACAAGAUCGGAA
rnacentral:lncRNA from 1 species